UUAUUCCUGCCGCCGGGUAGGAAUCUGAUAAGCAUUCGCGCCCAAUACCGGUAGGCCUUAGCAGGUAUUGGGAAGGCGGAUGCUUUUUUUG
rnacentral:ncRNA from 1 species